rnacentral:misc_RNA from 1 species
CCCUGGUGCAAAUUUAUGAUAUUCAAAUAAAAAUCUUUUUUUUUUUAUCACAAAUAAACAUCACAAUUUGAGGGAAGGAAAUGAGUAAAUAUUCCACCAGAACAGAAAAGGCCUCCUAAGAAAAGUGCUUCAAGUUUUACAAUUUAAUUAAAAGCUAGAAACCUAGGCUAUGCUCUUAUAUGCAAUGGACUUGAGAAAUGAAAGGAUGCUCUGAUGGAGUUAUCUAUCAGAAUUAUGUCAACAACAAAGAUGAUCUGCCUCAUAAAGCAGUUCAAAGAAGUUGCUAAAACGCUGCAAGGAAAACAGAUUAUUUCUCCAUUAAGUAGAGAAACAAUUGGGGUUGAGUUGAAUGCUCAGCAAGAAUAAUGAAUCCCGAAGAAGAUUUAGAGGUUUUAUGUAAAGAAAUGCAAGCCCAUGAAGUAAAUUACACAAACAUGAGUUAGCAUAGUCAAAGAGUGUCGUAAGGGACCAAGGGUGACAUGCUUACCUGCUCUGGGGAUGAGGAAUAAAAGAUGUCAAGGAAACAAGGGUAGGUAGCUGAGCCCUGUAUUUUCUGGAAAUCCCAUCAUUAUAUUUAGAUUUUGUACAGCUUGGCCAGAAGCUCCCUUCACAAGAUUAUCAAUAACUGAUAUAAUUAUUGCUCUACCAGAAAUUCGAUCAGGAAAGACAUUCAUGUAGCAAUAAUUAGAACCUCGAACAUCAUGAGUGCGAGGAACAACUCCUUUCUCCAAUAACUUGACAAAUUCUUCAUCCUCAUAGGAAAGCUUCAAUUGCUGGUACAAAUCCUCAGUUGUUACUCCUGGAGCCAUUUCCACAUAUAUAGUUGACUGCAUACCACGGCUCAUUGGCAUCAAGUGUGGGGUGAAACUGACAGUUACUUUUGAACCUGCAGCAUCAGAUAGUCCCUGUUCAAUCUCUGGAACAUGACGAUGCCUUGUAACACCAUAAGACAUAAUUCCUUCUGUUAAUUCAGUAUACAGAUUUGCCACCUUUGCACCACGACCUGCUCCACUGACGCCAGAUUUUGAAUCAAUAAUUAUAUUUUUAAAUUCAAUGAGAUUAGCCUUUAUCAAAGGAACAAGAGGAAGUUGAAUUGAUGUUGGAUAACAACCAGGAUUAGCAACCAGACGUGCAGUUUUUAUUUCCUCUCUGAAAAUCUCUGUCAAACCAUAUAUGGCUUCUUCCUGCAAAUCUGGUGCUCUGUGUGGCUGACCAUACCAUUCUUCAUAAUCAGAAAUAUCUCCUAGUCGGAAGUCUGCAGAAAGAUCAACAAUCUUUAACCACUUGGGAAGAGCUUUGAUGAUUUCCUGUGUGGUUCCAUGAGGCAAACAACAGAAUACAGCAUCCACAUCAGAAAAACUUGCAUCAUUUGUAGAAACCAAAACUGGUAGAUCCUUUUGUGUGAUGAAAUGAGGAAACACUGACCCUAUCGAUUUGCCAGCAUUUCUGUCAGCAGUCAUAACAGUAAUGCCAAAGAAAGGAUGGUUUGCAAGAAGUCGAAUAAUCUCUGCACCAGUGUAACCACUAGCUCCAAGAAGAGCAACACGAACAUCCUUUUCCUGCUUAGAAUUUCUAAUCUGCAAGCUUCUGGGAGACAAUAACGUGGAUCUUCCAACAUAGAGCCUAUCCUCAUUACGUUUGCCCAACUUUGAGAAUUUCACUUCACCCUUCCACAAGCACCCUCGAUCAAAGCAAACUGAGUUGAAAACUGAAGUGCUCAUCUUUCUCUAUAAAAUGCUACAGAAUUGAACAAAAAAGAAGGCUUUUAUAGGUGAAGUUGGUGAUCCUAGGAUCGGAUGCUUUUGGUGAAGAUAUGAAAUUUGGGGUUUUAAUCAGAAAGAAAUAAAGAAUAAAGUCGGCAUUUUGAAGUACUCAUGUGAAAUUUAUUCUUGUCAUGAGAAAGCAACAAACAAAUGCCAAAACCCUAGAUUAUUGUCUUGUAGUGGCCUAGUGGGAUUUGGAAUUUGGACAGAAUUUGAAUAGGAAUAACUUCAAUAAUUUUAUGGGCUAGGAAACUUUCCUUUCUUUCUUGUUUCCUCUUUGUGUUUGAUCUCCAUUGAACCUCAGAGGCCCGCCUCAAGAAGAUAUUGCAAUUUUUCUCGGGGAUUAUGGAUGACAUGCCGUUUUGUUCUCGAAUAAUGGUUCUCCAAUGUCAAACGACAAGUAUGUUCCGUCGUUGAAAAUGCAAAGUAGAGGCAGGCAGUGCUAUCGGUCUAA